rnacentral:rRNA from 1 species
AGCUACAGGCUUAACACAUGCAAGUCGAGGGGCAGCAUUUCAGUUUGCUUGCAAACUGGAGAUGGCGACCGGCGCACGGGUGAGUAACACGUAUCCAACCUGCCGAUAACUCGGGGAUAGCCUUUCGAAAGAAAGAUUAAUACCCGAUGGUAUAAUCAGACCGCAUGGUCUUGUUAUUAAAGAAUUUCGGCUAUCGAUGGGGAUGCGUUCCAUUAGGCAGUUGGUGAGGUAACGGCUCACCAAACCUUCGAUGGAUAGGGGUUCUGAGAGGAAGGUCCCCCACAUUGGAACUGAGACACGGUCCAAACUCCUACGGGAGGCAGCAGUGAGGAAUAUUGGUCAAUGGGCGCAGGCCUGAACCAGCCAAGUAGCGUGAAGGAUGACUGCCCUAUGGGUUGUAAACUUCUUUUAUAUGGGAAUAAAGUUUUCCACGUGUGGAAUUUUGUAUGUACCAUAUGAAUAAGGAUCGGCUAACUCCGUGCCAGCAGCCGCGGUAAUACGGAGGAUCCGAGCGUUAUCCGGAUUUAUUGGGUUUAAAGGGAGCGUAGGUGGACAGUUAAGUCAGUUGUGAAAGUUUGCGGCUCAACCGUAAAAUUGCAGUUGAUACUGGCUGUCUUGAGUACAGUAGAGGUGGGCGGAAUUCGUGGUGUAGCGGUGAAAUGCUUAGAUAUCACGAAGAACUCCGAUUGCGAAGGCAGCUCACUGGACUGCAACUGACACUGAUGCUCGAAAGUGUGGGUAUCAAACAGGAUUAGAUACCCUGGUAGUCCACACAGUAAACGAUGAAUACUCGCUGUUUGCGAUAUACAGUAAGCGGCCAAGCGAAAGCAUUAAGUAUUCCACCUGGGGAGUACGCCGGCAACGGUGAAACUCAAAGGAAUUGACGGGGGCCCGCACAAGCGGAGGAACAUGUGGUUUAAUUCGAUGAUACGCGAGGAACCUUACCCGGGCUUAAAUUGCAUUUGAAUAUAUUGGAAACAGUAUAGCCGUAAGGCAAAUGUGAAGGUGCUGCAUGGUUGUCGUCAGCUCGUGCCGUGAGGUGUCGGCUUAAGUGCCAUAACGAGCGCAACCCUUAUCUUUAGUUACUAACAGGUCAUGCUGAGGACUCUAGAGAGACUGCCGUCGUAAGAUGUGAGGAAGGUGGGGAUGACGUCAAAUCAGCACGGCCCUUACGUCCGGGGCUACACACGUGUUACAAUGGGGGGUACAGAAGGCAGCUACCUGGUGACAGGAUGCUAAUCCCAAAAGCCUCUCUCAGUUCGGAUCGAAGUCUGCAACCCGACUUCGUGAAGCUGGAUUCGCUAGUAAUCGCGCAUCAGCCAUGGCGCGGUGAAUACGUUCCCGGGCCUUGUACACACCGCCCGUCAAGCCAUGAAAGCCGGGGGUACCUGAAGUACGUAACCGCAAGGAGCGUCCUAGGGUAAAACUGGUAAUUGGGGCUAAGUCAUAACAA